rnacentral:rRNA from 1 species
CCUACGGGAGGCUGCAGUGGGGAAUUUUGGACAAUGGGCGCAAGCCUGAUCCAGCUAUUCCGCGUGUGGGAAGACGGCCUUCGGGUUGUAAACCACUUUUGUAGAGAACGAAAAGUCUGUUGAUAAUACCGAUAGAUGAUGACGGUACUCUAAGAAUAAGCACCGGCUAACUACGUGCCAGCAGCCGCGGUAAUACGUAGGGUGCGAGCGUUAAUCGGAAUUACUGGGCGUAAAGGGUGUGCAGGCGGUUUUGUAAGAUGGAUGUGAAAGCCCCGGGCUUAACCUGGGAAAGCCAUACAUGACUGCAAGACUAGAGUGCGUCAGAGGGGGGUGGAAUUCCAAGUGUAGCAGUGAAAUGCGUAGAUAUUUGGAAGAACACCGAUGGCGAAGGCAGCCCCCUGGGACGCAACUGACGCUCAUACACGAAAGCGUGGGGAGCAAACAGGAUUAGAUACCCCAGUAGUC